UACGGAGGGUGCGAGCGUUGUCCGGAAUCACUGGGCGUAAAGGGCGCGUAGGCGGCUCGUGAAGUCAGUGGUGAAAGCCCAGGGCUCAACUCUGGGUCGGCCCACGUGAUACUCGCGAGCUCGAGUUUGGUAGAGGCAGAUGGAAUUCCGGGUGCAGCGGUGGAAUGCGUAGAGAUCCGGAAGAACACCGGUGGCGAAGGCGGUCGCUGGGCCAAGACUGACGCUGAUGCACGA
rnacentral:rRNA from 1 species